AGCAAGCGCCGAACCGGUCCGGCAGUUCGGCCAUUCGUUAGAAUAGUCGCCGGACCGGUUCGGACUCACUCCUAGGCUGCACUGGCAGCAUGGAAGGGUCCAGGCAACCACUGCUGCUGUUUGGGGCUACCGAGGCCAUUGUCAGAGCAGGGGAGGCAGGCAAGGGAUGGGCCUGGGCCUGUCAGCGGCCUGAGGGAAACAAGCGGCCAUGGUGGUGGCAGCAGUGAGGAAUGGCCCGGUCAACCACUGCUGCUGCUCCUGAAGGGAGGAGCAGGAGCGGGGCUCAGGCAAGGGUGGGGAGGUCUCUGGGGAUAGGGGGCUGCAGCUUGGCCAAUAGGCGGCAGCAAUGCUGCAGCCACAACCAAGAAGGGUGAGGUGGAUGGAAGCAAUGGGAUGGAGGAGGAGCAGGAGUGCAGCUCAGGUGAGGGUGGGCAGGUCUCUGAGGUGAGGAGAGCAAUCAAUUACUAAUGCGCAGAUGCUCUAGAGCGUGCAAGAGUUCCAGCAUUGAAGCGGAAAGAAAUAAUGGCAGCGGUCAGGAUGCAGACAUGGAGGGCCAGCAGGCGAAGCCCCUCCGGCCAGAAGAGGUGGGUGGACAGUGGGCGAAGCCCCACCGGCCAGGAAGAAGAGACAGUGGCUGGGAGAAAUGAUGGCGGUGGUGAGGAGUUUUUUGAAAAGGAAGGAUAUGAUGAACAGAAGAGAGGAGCAGGAGAAGGUGCCAGAGGAAGUGCGGCAUCAUAACUGAAGAUUCGAGAUUCCUUAUGAAGAGGAUUUAUUUCAUAUCUUCAAACCUUUUUUCCCAACAUGGCUUUGAAGUUACUAUGAAGAUUUGGUUAAUAUUCAUGGGAGAUAAUAUGACCUCAAACAUGGGCACUUGACAAAGCAGUUCAAAACAGGUUUUCACUGGGUUACUGUUGUUUCAGUAUCUAUUAUUGACUACGUCAGGGAUUCUCAACAUUAG